rnacentral:rRNA from 1 species
GGCGAACCGUGCGAACGUUGUUCGGAAUCACUGGGCUUAAAGGGCGCGUAGGCGGGCUAACAAGUCUGGGGUGAAAUGCCGCGGCUCAACCGUGGAACUGCCUCAGAUACUGUCGGCCUCGAGGAAGGUAGGGGCAUGCGGAACUGUAGGUGGAGCGGUGAAAUGCGUUGAUAUCUACAGGAACUCCGGUGGCGAAAGCGGCGUGCUGGACCUUUUCUGACGCUGAGGCGCGAAAGCUAGGGGAGCAAACAGG